GACGAACGCUGGCGGCGCGCCUAACACAUGCAAGUCGAACGAAGCACUUCGGUGCUUAGUGGCGGACGGGUGAGUAACACGUGAAGAACCUGCCUUACAGAGGGGGACAACAGUUGGAAACGACUGCUAAUACCGCAUAACGUCAUUUGGGGGCAUCCUUAAAUGACCAAAGGAGCAAUCCGCUGUAAGAUGGCUUCGCGUCCGAUUAGAUAGUUGGCGGGGUAACGGCCCACCAAGUCGACGAUCGGUAGCCGGACUGAGAGGUUGAUCGGCCACAUUGGGACUGAGACACGGCCCAGACUCCUACGGGGAGGCAGCAGUGGGGAAUAUUGGGCAAUGGGCGAAAGCCUGACCCAGCGACGCCGCGUGAGGGAAGAAGAUCUUCGGAUUGUAAACCUUAGUCAACAGGGAAGAAGAAAGUGACGGUACCUGUGGAGGAAGCCACGGCUAACUACGUG
rnacentral:rRNA from 1 species